ACUCCUACGGGAGGCAGCAGUAGGGAAUCUUCCACAAUGGGCGCAAGCCUGAUGGAGCAACACCGCGUGAGUGAAGAAGGGUCUCGGCUCGUAAAGCUCUGUUGUUAAAGAAGAACACGUAUGAGAGUAACUGUUCAUACGUUGACGGUAUUUAACCAGAAAGUCACGGCUAACUACGUGCCAGCAGCCGCGGUAAUACGUAGGUGGCAAGCGUUAUCCGGAUUUAUUGGGCGUAAAGAGAGUGCAGGCGGUUUUCUAAGUCUGAUGUGAAAGCCUUCGGCUUAACCGGAGAAGUGCAUCGGAAACUGGAUAACUUGAGUGCAGAAGAGGGUAGUGGAACUCCAUGUGUAGAGGUGGAAUGCGUAGAUAUAUGGAAGAACACCAGUGGCGAAGGCGGCUACCUGGUCUGCAACUGACGCUGAGACUCGAAAGCAUGGGUAGCGAACAGGAUUAGAUACCCUGGUAGGAUAGCG
rnacentral:rRNA from 1 species